UACGGGGGGGGGCAAGCGUUGUUCGGAAUUACUGGGCGUAAAGGGCGCGUAGGUGGCCAACUAAGUCAGACGUGAAAUCCCUCGGCUUAACCGGGGAACUGCGUCUGAUACUGGAUGGCUUGAGUGUGGGAGAGGGAUGCGGAAUUCCAGGUGUAGCGGUGAAAUGCGUAGAUAUCUGGAGGAACACCGGUGGCGAAGGCGGCAUCCUGGACCAUUACUGACACUGAAACGCGAAAGCCAGGGGAGCAAACGGG
rnacentral:rRNA from 1 species